AUCUGCUCAGCCAUCAGCCCUGCUCUGGGGAGGUGCCAUUCUGAGGGCCAGGAGUUUGAUUAUGAGUCACUCUGGCUGCUAUGGCCCCCUCCCAGGGUCUGGGCAUCGCACCUUGACCAGC
rnacentral:precursor_RNA from 8 species